GGCUGGGUAGCUCAGUUGGUUAGAACGUUGUCCUGAUAUGACAAGGUUGCAGGUUUGAUCCCUGGUCAAGUCA
rnacentral:tRNA from 1 species